GUUAAGUCCCGCAACGAGCGCAACCCUUGUCCUAUGUUGCCAGCGGUUCGGCCGGGGACUCAUAGGAGACUGCCGGGGAUAACUCGGAGGAAGGUGAGGACGACGUCAAGUCAUCAUGCCCCUUAUAUCCAGGGCUGCACGCAUGCUACAAUGGCCGGUACAACGGGCAGCGACCCCGCGAGGGUGAGCGAAUCCUAUAAAGCCGGUCCUAGUUCGGAUUGAAGUCUGCAACUCGACUUCAUGAAGCCGGAGUCGCUAGUAAUCGCGGAUCAGCAAAGCCGCGGUGAAUACGUUCUCGGGGAUUGUACACACCGCCCGUCAAGUCACGGAAGUCGGCAACACCCAAAGUCAGUGGCCUAACCAUUUGGAGGGAGCUGCCUAAGGUGGGGUCGGUAACUGGGACU
rnacentral:rRNA from 1 species